rnacentral:rRNA from 1 species
AACGCUAGCUACAGGCUUAACACAUGCAAGUCGAGGGGCAUCAGGGUAGCAAUACCGCUGGCGACCGGCGCACGGGUGAGUAACACGUAUCCAACCUACCGUUAACUCGGGGAUAGCCUUUCGAAAGAAAGAUUAAUACCCGAUAGUAUAUUUUCUUCGCAUGUUGAAAAUAUUAAAGAAUUUCGGUUAUCGAUGGGGAUGCGUUCCAUUAGGCAGUUGGCGGGGUAACGGCCCACCAAACCUACGAUGGAUAGGGGUUCUGAGAGGAAGGUCCCCCACAUUGGAACUGAGACACGGUCCAAACUCCUACGGGAGGCAGCAGUGAGGAAUAUUGGUCAAUGGACGAAGGUCUGAACCAGCCAAGUAGCGUGAAGGGUGACUGCCCUAUGGGUUGUAAACUUCUUUUAUAUGGGAAUAAAGUUCUCCACGUGUGGAGUUUUGUAUGUACCAUUAUGAAUAAGCAUCGGCUAACUCCGUGCCAGCAGCCGCGGUAAUACGGAGGAUGCGAGCGUUAUCCGGAUUUAUUGGGUUUAAAGGGAGCGUAGGUGGACUGGUAAGUCAGUUGUGAAAGUUUGCGGCUCAACCGUAAAAUUGCAGUUGAUACUGUCAGUCUUGAGUACAGUAGAGGUGGGCGGAAUUCGUGGUGUAGCGGUGAAAUGCUUAGAUAUCACGAAGAACUCCGAUUG